CAGAGCUGUCCUGGCCCCCAAUUCCACUCCGUCCUCUGAUUUGUUCAACAUUCUAACAAGAAACAUGUUUUCUUCCUUGCAUACAUUAAGGAACUCAAGCUACAGCAACUCCAUGCCCCUCUGGAACAAUCUUCCCUCCACUUGUCUCUAGCCCCAUUCCUUCUCAUAACCUCACCACUUUUUAAGUAUUUGCAAUCCCUUCUGACAUUCCACUCUCUGAUGCUCAACAUUCUGUACUCAGCAAAGAUGUUGCCAAACCUGCCGAGUUUCUCCAGCAAGUUCUGUUUUUGUUGCAAAAGGUAAUAAGUCUACAUUGAAGCAUAAUUUUACGUUUGCCAGCCUCAGGUAAACAGAAGAAAUUAUUUGGAAGAGGCCUGACAGGACCAAAAUGAGUGGAAUCUAUGUCCAAUGACAUCUUUCAGCAAUGACAGCAGGACCUGAAGGACUACGAAUGCUUCUCACUGCAGAUUGAUGAAUUCAUCCACAAGACCAGCAAACUCCAGCCGAUUGCUUUUCUCCACCUGUUUUAAAAGAACAUAACAACCUAAGAGGAUCUCCUCAUCCUUUUGUGCCUGAAAGAGAGGUCAAUUAAUGAGAAUAUCUGCAACAAAUUCAGAAAGUAUGUAUUUGAGAAAAACAUUCCAGUCAAGAAGUUGUUUUCCAUUGCAACUGAUGUGCAUCAGACAUGCUACACAUAAAUACAAGGUUUCUUGCAUUUUUCAACAAUGAUCCUGACUGCCACUCUUUUGUCAGUUACCAUUGUAUAAUCCA